GUAUUUUCUUGCAUUCUUUCCCAUGGGCUGCCAUGCUCCCUUUAGCUUUAAGAGCAAACUUCAACAUCAUUUGUCUUGUGCCUCUGUUCAAGGCCUUUGUUCAAAUAGAAAAAUAGUUGUCUCAGCACAGAUUCCUGGAGUAUGACAUCAACACAUUGCUAAUCUGAGAAACACCCAUUUUCUUUGGUUCCGAGUCAACUGUCUGUCUACAGGGCUUCAAUCUCUUUAAAGUCAUUUGCCUUGACAUUUGUAACCAGCUUGUGGUAAAAUAUUCAGUGCUUGCUGAUAAUCCAAACACCUGCCCUUUUCCUUUAACCUAUGCACUCACAAGUGUUGGAGAAACAUUAUCAUUUUGGAUAAAUACCCAAUUUAUUUGUGAUAAAAACAUCCUCGGAAUGUUUUAUAAAUGGUUCACAUUAAAGUGCCAUUAUUUCUGUCAGUGCUUUCAUCUUUUGUGUUGUUUUUCAGGUCAAUUGCUCUCGUCAGUUCGAGAGGUGACUUGGGCUGGGCAUUAAAUUAUGUGUCUUCAGCUUUUCUGAGGCUCGGUGCUGCAAAACCAAUCAACUUUUUCAAAGAAGGAAGUUUUGCUAUGCUAGGAUUCAAGAGUUGGCUGAAACCAGCGUGGAUAAAAAUUCGAAGUCAAAGCGCUGGACAGCUGGCUGCCUCCGUGCAGCAUUAUGUUCCUUUGAAACUGAGUGAAUACGGCUGUUCUGGCAAACCAAAGGAGAACCGGAUAGAUUUAAAGUUGUUCCAUGACUUGAUGUCUUCAAACUAGACUACAAUUGCAAGGAGGAGAGAGAAUCUGUUAAAUUGUUGCCACUUUAACUUCUGUAUCAUUGCUAUAAAUAAAUAUAUUAUGUACAGGA